UGAGGAAUUUUGCGCAAUGGGGGAAACCCUGACGCAGCGACGCCGCGUGGAGGAUGAAGGCCUUCGGGUUGUAAACUCCUGUCAGAGGUGAAGAAUGCCCGCAAGGGUUUGACGGUAACCUCAGAGGAAGCCCCGGCUAACUACGUGCCAGCAGCCGCGGUAAUACGUAGGGGGCAAGCGUUACUCGGAGUUACUGGGUGUAAAGGGUGUGUAGGUGGCUGAGCAAGUCAAAGAUGAAAUCCCGAGGCUCAACUUCGGAAUGGUCUUUGAAACUGCUCAGCUUGAGGAUAGUUGAGGAGAGCGGAAUUCCCGGUGGAGCGGUGAAAUGCGUAGAUAUCGGGAGGAACACCUGAGGCGAAGGCGGUUCUCUAAGCUAUUCCUGACACUGAGACACGAAAGCUAGGGGAGCAAACGGGAUUAGAUACCCCGGUAGUCCUAGCUGUAAACGAUGGACACUAGAUGUUCCUGCGUUUAUGCGGGAGUGUCGAAGCUAACGCGUUAAGUGUCCCACCUGGGGAGUACGGUCGCAAGGCUG
rnacentral:rRNA from 1 species